rnacentral:rRNA from 1 species
ACGUUGGCCCCUGACCGGGGUUGCGGACAGUGUCUGGUGGGUAGUUUGACUGGGGCGGUCUCCUCCCAAAGCGUAACGGAGGAGCACGAAGGUUAGCUAAUCCUGGUCGGACAUCAGGAGGUUAGUGCAAUGGCAUAAGCUAGCUUGACUGCGAGCGUGACGGCGCGAGCAGGUGCGAAAGCAGGUCAUAGUGAUCCGGUGGUUCUGAAUGGAAGGGCCAUCGCUCAACGGAUAAAAGGUACUCCGGGGAUAACAGGCUGAUACCGCCCAAGAGUUCAUAUCGACGGCGGUGUUUGGCACCUCGAUGUCGGCUCAUCACAUCCUGGGGCUGAAGUAGGUCCCAAGGGUAUGGCUGUUCGCCAUUUAAAGUGGUACGCGAGCUGGGUUUAGAACGUCGUGAGACAGUUCGGUCCCUAUCUGCCGUGGGCGCUGGAGAAUUGAGGGGGGCUGCUCCUAGUACGAGAGGACCGGAGUGGACGCAUCACUGGUGUUCGGGUUGUCAUGCCAAUGGCACUGCCCGGUAGCUAAAUGCGGAAGAGAUAAGUGCUGAAAGCAUCUAAGCACGAAACUUGCCCCGAGAUGAGUUCUCCCUGAGACUU